AACGAACGCUGGCGGCAGGCCUAACGCAUGCAAGUCGAACGCCCCGCAAGGGGAGUGGCAGACGGGUGAGUAACACGUGGGAACCUUCCCAACAGUACGGAAUAGCCCAGGGAAACUUGGAGUAAUACCGUAUAUUCCCGAGAGGGGAAAGAUUUAUCGCUGUUGGAUGGGCCCGCGUCGGAUUAGCUAGUUGGUGAGGUAACGGCUCACCAAGGCGACGAUCCGUAGCUGGUUUGAGAGAAUGACCAGCCACACUGGGACUGAGACACGGCCCAGACUCCUACGGGAGGCAGCAGUGGGGAAUCUUGGACAAUGGGCGCAAGCCUGAUCCAGCCAUGCCGCGUGAGUGACGAAGGCCUUAGGGUUGUAAAGCUCUUUUACCGGGGACGAUAAUGACGGUACCCGGAGAAUAAGUCCCGGCUAACUUCGUG
rnacentral:rRNA from 1 species